GGCGGCAGUGGCGGUGGCCAUGGCAGAAGCGGAAACAGGAGCAGCAGCAGCAGCAGCAGCGGCAGGAGAGGCACACAGGAGCCAGAUCCUAAAGGCUUUGUAUGCCACAUUAGGAAAGAAUUUGGAAUAGAGCUUCUGGUUGGAAAACAUUUUCUGUAACCAGCCCGACAAACUUGUACUUGACAUCAGUUAGCCUAACUCAGACCCUGACCUUGCCUUUGUAUUUGGGGAAGAGUCUGAUCUUCAAGAUGGACCCAACCUCAAUAGAAACAAACAUGUGAGUUUAAGGAAAUGUAUAUGAUUUCCCUUUCAAGAUCCUACAAAAACAUAUGGGAGCAAGAUAAUGUUUGUUCUGACCUGCCAAAAUCCUGUGGAGAUCAUCUCGAAUCCACAUCACAUUCCUGAGUACUAAUGCUCACACGGGGCUUUUGCAUUAGCAGAUGUGUGAAAAUGCAUGUACUCAGAGAAUUCCCUCAUGGCUUCCUAUCUAAAGAAGCUCCUCUACAACAGCUCUUCCAGCCAAAUGCUGAAAUGACAUCUCCAAGUUCGGUAUACCUUCAUUUAAGCCAGUGUCUGGACGGAAAAAAUUCAACUGAAGGGUUUGUUAUCUGGCUCAAAACCAAGGGGAGCCUGAGUGAAUGUGAGACAGAUUUUCAGAAGGCCUCCUAUAUUCUACUUCUAAUCCUCAAGUCAUAUCAGAGACUCUAGUAAAUUUUUACUUAUUCACAUCACAAUUUCUAGCAAUCAGAUUUCACCAUUUCAAAUGCGUCACUGGAAGAUGCAUGUGUAUGAUUUUAGUUGUGAUUAAAACUGGGGGAAGGGAGACUGUUCAAUACUCUUCCUAUUUCAGCUGUGGCAAGACUAUGCUGAAAAUAUUAAGAAAAUCAAUCUAUCUUUGCAUACUUUCUCUUAAAUUUUCUUUUGUAAAAAUCAUAUGUUUUUGGCCGGGCACAGUGGCUCACGCCUGUAAUCCCAGCAUUUUGGGAGGAUGAGGCGGGUGGAUCACGAGGUCAAGGGGUUCAAGACCAGCCUGACCAAGAUGUUGAAACCCCGUCUCUACUAAAAAUCCAAAAAUUAGCCAGGCGUGGUGGCAGGCGCCUGUAAUCCCAGCCACUUGGGAGGCUGAGGCAGAGAACUGCUUGAACCCGGGAGGCGGAAAUUGCAGUGAGCUGUGAUCGUGCCACUGCACUCCAGCCUGGGUGACACGGCAAGACUCCGUCUCACACACACACAUACAAAAUAGAUGUUUUUGAGCCUUAUAAUAACACAGGCUCACCAAAGAAAACUUUGGAAAAACUUUAAAGAAGAAAAUUAAAACUGUUCAUAAUCCUAUCACUUGGAGGUUAAACACUAUUUACAAUUUGAUCUGCUUCCUUCGUGUCAUCCAUGAAUGAAUACCAUAAAGUUGUAUAAAUCCACAACUGCAUAAUUUUUCAUAAUACUUUUUGUACAGUUUUGUACUCUUCUAAGUUCAUUAAAAUGCAAAGCAGUGGUUACAAUCUUAAAUAGACAAAAGCAUUAAAGAAGGGGGAAAAGAGGACACCUAGAAAUGUUAACAGGUAUAUUUUAUUCUACGAUGAUACUCUAACAAUUAUGACUAUCUAUAUAUCAAAUAAUACAAUGUUGAUACCAUAUAGCAAAACUAUAGAAUAUAAGGAAAAAUAUAGAAAAAUAUUAUUAGCAUGAGAUUUUAACUUCAUCAUUUUUAACUCCAUAACAGCUGAUAUAUCUAUAUAUCUACAUCUCUAGCUCUCUCUCAGAAAGCAUAUAACGUAACCAAUGAGGUAAAUCUAACUGUUGAAAUUGCAACUCUGUAUUCUGAAAAGAGAAAAUAAACCCCUUUUUUUCAAGUGCCCAUGAAACCUUUACAAAAAUCAGGAAAUAUUUUUCCUAAAAUAUAAAAUUUGAUCAAACCAAUCUCCCAGAUCUAAUAAACAAUUUAUAGGAAAUUUUAGGAACAAAAGGACACCAAGAGAUCAACAGAAUUCAGUCUGUGGGAAAUGCUAUAAGAUAAAUGUCCCGGUUUCCUUAAUAAAUAAACUAUAAAGUAGUAAAAACAAGGAGAUGGAGGAUAAACUUACAUAUUAAAAGAGUCUUAUGAAAUAUAUCAACCAAUUGCAAUGUAUAAGUCUUAUGUGAAACAUGAUUUUAAAAAUGAGAUAGAGAAAUUUAACAUGAAUUGGAGAUUUGAUAUUACAUUAUUAUUGUUAAUCUCAGGCAUGAUAAUACUUUGUUUUUUAAAAAAAGUCCUUAUUUUUAGAGAUAUGUACUAAAAUAUUUACAAAUGAAGUAUCAUGACAUCUGGAUUUGCUUCAAAAUAAUAUGGUAGAGUAGCGGGGUAGCAUAUAAAACUAGUCUGGUGAUGGGUUGCUAAGUGUCAAAACUACCUGAUUUUCAGGGAUAUAUCAGGCUAUUCACUCUAUAUUUGCAUAUAUUUGAAAUGUUUCAUAAUAAGGAGUUAAAGAGAAAAGCGAGCAUGAAUGUGUGUAUGCACACAGAAAUUAAAAACUGCUCAUAGCUAAUAUAGUUAUUCUUUUGAGGAGGUGUUUUAAGGGAAAGGAAAGAUAUGGGUUUGUAGCUGAUAUCGCAUUUACAACAGAACACCAUUUAUUCAUUUUUAUUUAAAUUUCUCCUUUGUGUAGACAGAUGUCACAUAAUGUUAGCAAUUGUUGAAUCCAGUGAAAAUGUUUAUAUAAUCACUGUACUAUAUUUAAAAUUUUCUGUAAGUUUGAAAUUUUUCACAAUAAAAAGUUAUCUUAGC